rnacentral:tRNA from 1 species
GCCUGGAUGGCUCAGUCAGUUGAGCAUCUGACUUCAGCUCAGGUCACCAUCUCGUGGUUCGUGGGUUCGAGCCCCGCGACGGGCU